GCCGGCGUAGCACAGCGGAAGUGCAGGGCUUUUGUAAAGCCAAGGUCGGGAGUUCGAUCCUCUCCGCCGGCACCA
rnacentral:tRNA from 1 species